AGAGUUUGAUCAUGGCUCAGAUUGAACGCUGGCGGCAGGCCUAACACAUGCAAGUCGAGCGGUAGCACAGAGAGCUUGCUCUCGGGUGACGAGCGGCGGACGGGUGAGUAAUGUCUGGGAAACUGCCUGAUGGAGGGGGAUAACUACUGGAAACGGUAGCUAAUACCGCAUAACGUCGCAAGACCAAAGUGGGGGACCUUCGGGCCUCAUGCCAUCAGAUGUGCCCAGAUGGGAUUAGCUAGUAGGUGGGGUAACGGCUCACCUAGGCGACGAUCCCUAGCUGGUCUGAGAGGAUGACCAGCCACACUGGAACUGAGACACGGUCCAGACUCCUACGGGAGGCAGCAGUGGGGAAUAUUGCACAAUGGGCGCAAGCCUGAUGCAGCCAUGCCGCGUGUGUGAAGAAGGCCUUCGGGUUGUAAAGCACUUUCAGCGGGGAGGAAGGCGUUAAGGUUAAUAACCUCAUCGAUUGACGUUACCCGCAGAAGAAGCACCGGCUAACUCCGUGCCAGCAGCCGCGGUAAUACGGAGGGUGCAAGCGUUAAUCGGAAUUACUGGGCGUAAAGCGCACGCAGGCGGUCUGUCAAGUCGGAUGUGAAAUCCCCGGGCUCAACCUGGGAACUGCAUUCGAAACUGGCAGGCUAGAGUCUUGUAGAGGGGGGUAGAAUUCCAGGUGUAGCGGUGAAAUGCGUAGAGAUCUGGAGGAAUACCGGUGGCGAAGGCGGCCCCCUGGACAAAGACUGACGCUCAGGUGCGAAAGCGUGGGGAGCAAACAGGAUUAGAUACCCUGGUAGUCCACGCCGUAAACGAUGUCGAUUUGGAGGUUGUGCCCUUGAGGCGUGGCUUCCGGAGCUAACGCGUUAAAUCGACCGCCUGGGGAGUACGGCCGCAAGGUUAAAACUCAAAUGAAUUGACGGGGGCCCGCACAAGCGGUGGAGCAUGUGGUUUAAUUCGAUGCAACGCGAAGAACCUUACCUGGUCUUGACAUCCACAGAACUUUCCAGAGAUGGAUUGGUGCCUUCGGGAACUGUGAGACAGGUGCUGCAUGGCUGUCGUCAGCUCGUGUUGUGAAAUGUUGGGUUAAGUCCCGCAACGAGCGCAACCCUUAUCCUUUGUUGCCAGCGGU
rnacentral:rRNA from 1 species